UACAGAGGGGGCAAGCGUUGUUCGGAAUUACUGGGCGUAAAGGGCGCGUAGGCGGCCUGCUAAGUCGAACGUGAAAUCCCUGGGCUCAACCCAGGAACUGCGUCCGAUACUGGUUGGCUUGAAUCCGGGAGAGGGAUGUGGAAUUCCAGGUGUAGCGGUGAAAUGCGUAGAUAUCUGGAGGAACACCGGUGGCGAAGGCGACAUCCUGGACCGGCAUUGACGCUGAGGCGCGAAAGCCAGGGGAGCAAAGCAGG
rnacentral:rRNA from 1 species